UGUGGUUGUGGCUCAGUGGUAGAGUGCUCGCCUAGCAAGUGUGAGGCCCUGGGUUCGAACCUCAGCACCACAU